rnacentral:rRNA from 1 species
GUCUGCUGUAGUUAUAAGGAGUCUAGCCUGCUCUCUGAUAAAUUUAAGGGCCGCGGUAAUUUGACCGUGCAAAGGUAGCAUAAUAAUUAGUUUUUUAAUUGGAAUCUUGUAUGAAUGGUUGGACAAAAGAAAUACUGUCUCUAUAAUUAUUAUUGAAUUUAACUUUUAAGUGAAAAGGCUUAAAUUGUUUAAAAAGACGAUAAGACCCUAUAAAGCUUUAUAAGUAAUGUUAUUUAAUUGAAUUAAUUAUUAUAAUAAUUUAAUAACUUAAUUAUUAUGUUGGGGAGACAGAAUUAUAAUUAAUAGUAACUGAGAUUUAGUGUUACAAAUAUAUAUGAUUUAAGUAUUAAAAGAUCCUUAUAUAAAGAUUAAAAGUUUAAGUUACUUUAGGGAUAACAGCGUUAUUUUCUUUGAGAGUUCAUAUCGAAAAGAAAGAUUGCGACCUCGAUGUUGAAUUAAAAUUUCUAGGUAAUUGCAGAAGUUACUUUAGAAGGUCUGUUCGACCUUUAAAUUUUUACAUGAUUUGAGUUCAGACCGGCGUAAGCCAGGUUGGUUUCUAUCUUUUAAGAUAAAGUGAAAUUACUUUAGUACGAAAGGAUUGAGUAAUUAAAUUUUAUUUUAGUGUGGUUAUUUUGGCAGAAAUUAUGUGUAAGA